UACGGAGGGGGCUAGCGUUGUUCGGAAUUACUGGGCGUAAAGCGUGUGUAGGCGGCCACGUAAGUCGGAUGUGAAAGCCCCAGGCUCAACCUGGGAAGUGCACUCGAUACUGCGUGGCUUGAGUAUCGGAGAGGUUGGUGGAAUUCUCGGUGUAGAGGUGAAAUUCGUAGAUAUCGAGAGGAACACCGGUGGCGAAGGCGGCCAACUGGACGAAUACUGACGCUGAGACACGAAAGCGUGGGGAGCAAACAGG
rnacentral:rRNA from 1 species